rnacentral:rRNA from 1 species
CCCUUAGAUGUUCUGGGCCGCACGCGCGCUACACUGACGAAUGCAACGAGCUUAUAACCUUGGCCGAAAGGUCUGGGUAAUCUCCAAAUUUCGUCGUGAUGGGGAUAGAUUAUUGCAAUUAUUAAUCUUCAACGAGGAAUGCCUAGUAAGCGCAAGUCAUCAGCUUGCGUUGAUUACGUCCCUGCCCUUUGUACACACCGCCCGUCGCACCUACCGAUUGAAUGGUCCGGUGAAGCCUCGGGAUUGCGAAUGCUUCGUGCGGACGCGAGAACUUGGCUAAACCUUACCAUUUAGAGGAAGGUGAAGUCGUAACA